rnacentral:rRNA from 1 species
GACGAACGCUGGCGGCGUGCUUAACACAUGCAAGUCGAACGGAAAGGCCCUGCUUUUGUGGGGUGCUCGAGUGGCAAACGGGUGAGUAACACGUGAGUAACCUGCCCUUGACUUUGGGAUAACUUCAGGAAACUGGGGCUAAUACCGGAUAGGAGCUCCUGCUGCAUGGUGGGGGUUGGAAAGUUUCGGCGGUUGGGGAUGGACUCGCGGCUUAUCAGCUUGUUGGUGGGGUAGUGGCUUACCAAGGCUUUGACGGGUAGCCGGCCUGAGAGGGUGACCGGCCACAUUGGGACUGAGAUACGGCCCAGACUCCUACGGGAGGCAGCAGUGGGGAAUAUUGCACAAUGGGCGGAAGCCUGAUGCAGCAACGCCGCGUGCGGGAUGACGGCCUUCGGGUUGUAAACCGCUUUCGCCUGUGACGAAGCGUGAGUGACGGUAAUGGGUAAAGAAGCAACGGCUAACUACGUG